rnacentral:rRNA from 1 species
GGAGACUGCGAGCGUUACUCGGAAUCACUGGGCGUAAAGGGUGCGUAGGCAGUUAGGGUGUGUCAGGCGUGAAAUCUUGGGGGCUCAACCCCAAAACUGCACUUGAAACUACCUGACUAGAGACUCGGAGAGGUAAGCGGAAUUCCAGGUGUAGCGGUGAAAUGCGUAGAUAUCUGGAGGAACACCUAUGGCGAAGGCAGCUUACUGGACGAGAACUGACGCUGAGGCACGAAAGCGUGGGGAGCGAAAGGGAUUAGAUACCCCUAUAGUCCACGCUGUAAACGUUGUACACUAGGUUCUGGAGGAGUCGACCCCUCCAAAGCCCAAGCUAACGCGAUAAGUGUACCGCCUGAGGACUACGGCCGCAAAGGCUAA